UCCAAUGUGGUGUAGUGGCUAACAUUGCUGUCUUUCACGUAUCCUUCUCAAAUGCGCACAGCAGCCCGGGGUUCGAUUCCCCGCAUUGGAA